rnacentral:lncRNA from 1 species
GCGACGUACAGACCCAUCACAAAUACAAAGUUCCUCUGUCCACUCGGACAGAGUCUCCUUUGUAUUUGCACGGCGUACCAGCUAUACAACAGGAUCUCAACCACAACCUACAUUUACCAAUCAACAACCAAAGCAUGAUAUGCAUUUCCAUACAGCUAACAAUCCUUAGAAUGAUGCAUGCCUCUAAGCACUCCUUAGGCGCUGGAUGAUGCAAUGUACAAUACAACAAACAUCCUAUUUAAAAGUGCUCCCCACCCGGAAGCUUUUGUUUUUAAACUCUAAUUCAAUUAUUCAUAAAACCAUUCGAAAACUAUUUUGAAAACUGUUUCCUACCCGGAAACUUUAUUUUGAAAAUCAACUACCUCGAGGGGUAGAAAACCACGAUAUGUAAAUACAAGAAAAUCCGAUAUCCAUAGAAUCAACAUCCAAAUCCACAAACCUCAGUUCACAUGCAUAAAUAAUGAAAGCAUCCACAGAUCUACCAAACCAGAUCACCACAUUCAAACAAUCAUAAAAAUCAGCUAACUGAACCAUUAUUUAAAUGACUACUAAAGGCGGGAAAGAAAUACAACCAGGAUGGCGAUCGCUAUACCAUACUAGCUAGAUCGUCCUCUCGUCGAGCCCAAAAUCCAACUCCUCGUCUAU